ACAUUACUGUACUGUAGGUUUUAAGUCGAUACUUAUAAAAUAUGAGCAAAUUACUGGAAAAGCGGACGAGUCUGAGUUCGUUCUCAGACUUGACAGAUAUGCAGGUAACAGGUGGCUUCCAGAUGAGCGGACUUUUAUUAAAGAAACCAAUGGGUCGACCAUCAAACAAAUGGUCAAAAAGAUUCUUCGUACUGAAAGACAGUUUCAUGUUCUAUUAUGGGGAAACGGAAAAGAAAAUAUUUGAUACAAAAAUAUUCAAUAUACACCCGAAGGGUGUGAUACCACUUGGAGAUUGUAUGAUAGAAGAAGCAACUUUGCCCAAUCUUCCAUACGGGAUUCGAAUUCUGCCUGCUAACGCUGAUAAAAGUGAUGCAUCUGCACUGUACUUGGGAGCGGACGAUGAAGACUCAAAACAGGAAUGGAUCAGAGCCAUAGAGCAAAGCUCAAAAAUAACAACUUUGAAUGCGGAACUUAGCGAGACAAUGAUCAGGUCUUUGCAAGAACAACUAAUCAGCGUUUCAAAAGAAAGACAAGAACUGUUUGAGAAAUUCAUCAAAGUGUCGGAAGAAUUUGGUGCGGAACGCGCGAAAACCGAGGAGUUGGAAGCUUUCAAUUUUCAACUUGCGGAAGAAAAAGUUCGAAUCCAGAUGUUUGUGGACGAACUGCAGGAUACUCAGGAAACUAUAAAAACUGACUUGGAAGAUACUUUGAAAAACAUGGAACUGCUGGAAACGGAAAGACAUAAAAUGUUAGCGAUUACAGUAGAGCUUCAAGGCUCGAUUCAGAGACUUUCACAAGAGAGAGAAAUGAUAUUAUCUGAUCUCGAAGAGCAGAAGAGAAACGAUGCGGCUAAAUCUGACGAGGCGACGAAAAACGUUGAGGAAUUGAUGCAAAAACUUGACGGAAUCACAAAGCAAACACUGGAAAUGGAAGAACAGAAAGCAGAGUUGGAAAAACUGCUUUCGGAGAACGAACAAGAAAAAGCAGAGUUUCGUUUGACAACAGAAGUGUUGAGCCAUGAAAUACAGGAUUUGGAACAGGAGCGGCAACUAAUGCAAGAAGAGGCGAAGGCUGAAAAUGAAGAGAAGCAGAAGCUUUCGAUAGAGUUGGAACAUUGUAAGAUUGCAUUGAAACGUUUGCAGAUUGAAGCUUUGCAUUCUAAAGAAAAUGAAGAUAUCAACGAUCAAGUGAUGACUGAUGUCAAGAGUUUACUCGGUGAAGUUUUUCGAAAGUUGCGCCGAGAAAAGCAAACUUGAGAUACAAAGAAAUCAACUUAAACGAAAACGGAUGUCGCAAAGGUUGAGUCGAAAGAGAAACCGAUCUUUAUCAACGCGUAUGAGAAGCUCAGGGACGUUUUACGGGUCAAAGCAAUCUCCUAAUUUCAAUCAAGAGGACAUCAAAGAAGAUUUAGAAGGAGAAAAAGAACAAGAGAGAGAACAGGAAGAAAAGAAACAAGAAAGAGAACAGGAAGAAAAACAACAAGAACGACAAGAAAAAGAAGACACAGCACAAGCCGUGUUAGAAGAUCAAAAUGAUGAUUUUUGUGACAGUUCCGAAUCUACUGAUAUGUAAUUAAGUAGGGUACUAUGGUAUGUGGACUCCAGAUAUACCGUCGUCGUCAAAUCCCAUAUUUCUUAAUCGUGUUUUAAACAAUUAACAACGCUUUCGUCAUGGUGAUACGGUUAUAUACUUCUGUAAUUAUUCCUUGAUUACUUACGAAUGGGACGAUAAAUAGAACGAAACGUAACGUCUUACCCACACCAAUAUAAAUCAUCAAACUCCCAAAUUACCUAUUUCUAUUGUUCAGCGAAUCAAACUACACGAACUUUAACAUUUUCGUCAUUCCAACCUGUUCUAAUAUUCUCAUUUCAUCCCCGCAAAUUUAUUAUUAAUUGUUUACUGCGUUCACGAAUGCGCUUAGUGUUCUUUAUUACAACACACUAGUUUUUCCAUAGUUACCGAAUACCAAUGUAAGUAACUUAUUUAUCCUCGCAUUGCGGGGCAACGACGACAGUUAUAACAUAAGUGUUUUGUUUUAUAGCCUACACCACAUGCCAGCUUACAAGUUAUCACAUGUGUAAUACUGCUGUAAAUCUAUUAGCAUUCUAUACAAACGUUUUAUUCUUGAACUAAGAAUAUUUAUUUAAGGAAUUUUGUCAAUAUAUAGUAGGGUGGAGGGAGAUGGGACACCUUUAGCACGGGAGUGGUAGAAUACGGUUUAUAAUUGUUUGAAUGUUCUUUGUUUACUACCAAAUGUGACGAGAAAAUAGAACGAUAAGGUGUCCCAUCUUCCCCCACGCCACUAUACUCAAAAAGUUUUGAAAAUUAGGUCAUCAUUAUUAAUUUGUGCUUCACUUUUUUGACAAAGGUUUAACAACAUUUAUAUCUCAUGUUAAGUCAGUAUCAUUUGUUUGUUGAUGAACAUAUUAUGUGUGAUCUAUUAUAUUCGUGCAAAGAUAUCGUGACAAUGUUAUUGUAUAAUAAACCAACAAUCGCUAUGAG